ACUGACCCGGGGGCAGGGACGAGUACAGCUGCGCAGAGUUCUUCCCCGAAUAAUCUCAGCCGUGAGUAGGGUUGUUUGGGGGAGAGUUAGUAUUAGUCCUUACCUGACACCUGAAGGCAAUAUUGUCUGUCCUUGUGGGAGUUGAUAAUUCCUCCAGGCACUGGUCAGCUACCUAAACGGGAGUGCUGUGUGCAUGGGAAAAAUCAAAGGACUCGCAGGUAGCUAAAGCCUCGUGCUGUCUAACAUUCCCAUUGAGCAACACUGGAG
rnacentral:lncRNA from 1 species